GGGGCGUGGGAGAGGCACCCCCCAUGAGCCUCCAAGUUUUACCAAGGGUUCUCCUCAAAGGUUCAAUCUCCAGCUUGCUUUACCCCAUUGCCUUCUCUUCCUGCUCCUGGAUGACUUUGGGCUGUGGACCUUGCGCCAUAAUGUCUUCAGGUAAACUCCACGUGUCAACACUGGGGGCAUCCUUGGUUGCGAAUGGGACCCCAAGUUGUUCUUCCCUCACUCUUCUGCCCAAGCGAGCUCCAUAUCCAGGGAAGUCUCCAGGACCAGGCCAGCCCUCCUGUGUGUGAACCGAGUGACUUACAGGGCUAAUACUGAGGUUCUUGUGAGGAAAAAAAGGAGGUGAUGCAUGCAAAGUUUUUGGCACAGUGUCUCCCAGGUAGUAAGCACCCCCAAAAAUGAGAUGUUCCAUCUGGGCUGAAGACUGUAGCACUUGAGACUAUACUGAGCAGACAUAGCUGAUGUGAUUGUGCCCAUUUCAGAGGUAAAGGAAUUGGAUAAGCAGGAAAGUGUGGUAAUAAAAUGAGUGUGUUCUCACCUCAGACUUAGGGAAGCUGGGGGCGGCAUCAUUUGAUGCCUACGACCAGAAAGCAAAGCUUAUGUUCUCAUGAUCACGCCAGCCCAGAGAUUAAUGCAAUAGCCUUGAAUGAAUCAGCCGUAUCCUUCUAAUCUGGAAUCAGAACGAUACCAUCUACCUCCUUGGGUGGGAUGAGAACACAGAGUGUCUGGGAAUCCAACGCCUUGAAGAUCCAAGGGGAGAUUUGUAGAGUAUGUCCCCUCUUGUCUUGUCCGCAACUAGUCUAGACUUGACCUGACACCCAAGAAUGAAGGAGAUGCUACUUUAUGAAACCAGCAGAAUGUGGAGCCUAGCUGAAAAAGUACAUGGAAUAGCAGGAUUUGGGGAGGGAGAUUUAUUUUAAGGAAUUGCCUCAGGCAGUUGUGGAGCCUGAUGAGUCCAAAAUCUGCAGCAUAGACCAGCAGACUGGCGACCCGGGGAAGGGUUGCAAUUGGAGUCCAAAGGCUGUUUGCUGUCAGAAUUCCUUCUUGCUUGAUGGAGUCUAAUUACAGGAGAGCAUCAGAUAAUCCCACACUGAAGGAUAUUCUGUUAAAAACCUGGCCGGAACUCCUCAAGACUGUCAGGGUCAUGAAAAACAGGAGGCGUCUGAAAAACCAGCAGAGACCAGAGGACCCGAAGGAGGCAGGACAGCUAAUGCAGUGUGGGACCCUGGACUGGUCCUGGAGCACAGAAGAAAGAACAUUAAUGGAAAAACCAGUGGAUCCGAAACAAAAUUUGGAGUUUAGUUAAGAGUGAUACACCGGUGCUGGUUUCUCAGUUUUGACAAAUGUUUUGGUGGAGGAUGAUAAUAUUAGGGAAUCCAAAACGGGGCAAGCAGGGCAUGGGAACUCUCUGUACUAUCUUUGCAACUCUUCCGUAAAUCGAACACGAUACCAAAAUAAAAAGCUUAUUAAGAAAAAGAAGGCAUGUUCCUUAAA